UACGGGAGGCAGCAGUGGGGAAUAUUGCACAAUGGGCGCAAGCCUGAUGCAGCCAUGCCGCGUGUAUGAAGAAGGCCUUCGGGUUGUAAAGUACUUUCAGUCGUGAGGAAGGUGUUAAGGUUAAUAACCUUAGCAAUUGACGUUAGCGACAGAAGAAGCACCGGCUAACUCCGUGCCAGCAGCCGCGGUAAUACGGAGGGUGCGAGCGUUAAUCGGAAUUACUGGGCGUAAAGGGCACGCAGGCGGUUAAUUAAGUUGGAUGUGAAAUCCCCGGGCUUAACCUGGGAAUGGCAUUCAAGACUGGUUAGCUAGAGUCUUGUAGAGGGGGGUUAGAAUUCCAUGUGUAGCGGUGAAAUGCGUAGAGAUGUGGAGGAAUACCGGUGGCGAAGGCGGCCCCUGGGACAAAGGACUGACGCUCAUGUGCGAAAGCGUGGGGAGCAAACG
rnacentral:rRNA from 1 species